rnacentral:rRNA from 1 species
AGCCGUCCGUCAAGUGAUAUGAGAUUUUACAAUGAAGAGUUUGAUCCUGGCUCAGGAUGAACGCUAGCUACAGGCUUAACACAUGCAAGUCGAGGGGCAUCACGUUCCAGCAAUGGAAUGGUGGCGACCGGCGUACGGGUGAGUAUCGCGUAUCCACCUGUCCUUUACACGGGUAUAGGCUUUCGAAAGAAAGAUUAAUCCCCGAUGGCACUGGUCUGACCCAUGUCAGUCAAGUUAAAGGAAGCGAUUCGGUAAAGGAGGGGGAUGCGUUCCAUUAGACAGUUGGCAGGGUAACGGCCUACCAAAUCUACGAUGGAUAGGGGUUCUGAGAGGAAGUUCCCCCACAUUGGAACUGAGACACGGUCCAAACUCCUACGGGAGGCAGCAGUGAGGAAUAUUGGUCAAUGGGCGGAAGCCUGAACCAGCCAAGUAGCGUGAAGGACGACUGCCCUAUGGGUUGUAAACUUCUUUUAACGGGGGAUAAAUGUUACCAUGCAUGGUAAUUUGCAGGUACCCGUUGAAUAAGCAUCGGCUAACUCCGUGCCAGCAGCCGCGGUAAUACGGAGGAUGCAAGCGUUAUCCGGAUUUAUUGGGUUUAAAGGGUGCGCAGGCGGGAUUUCCAGUCAGCCGUGAAAUUUUGGGGCUUAACCUUAAACGUGCGGUUGAAACAGAAAUUCUUGAGUAUGGACAAGGUGGGCGGAAUUCGUGGUGUAGCGGUGAAAUGCAUAGAUAUCACGAAGAACUCCGAUUGCGCAGGCAGCUCACUGGGGCAUAACUGACGCUCAUGCACGAAAGUGCGGGAAUCAAACAGGAUUAGAUACCCUGGUAGUCCGCACCGUAAACGAUGAAUACUUGCCGUAUGCGAUACACAGUAUGCGGUUAAGCGAAAGCAUUAAGUAUUCCACCUGGGGAGUACGCCGGCAACGGUGAAACUCAAAGGAAUUGACGGGGGCCCGCACAAGCGGAGGAACAUGUGGUUUAAUUCGAUGAUACGCGCGGAACCUUACCCGGGCUUGAAUUGUGUCUGAAUAUGCUUGAAAGAGUAUAGUCGCAAGACAGGCAUGAAGGUGCUGCAUGGUUGUCGUCAGCUCGUGCCGUGAGGUGUCGGCUUAAGUGCCAUAACGAGCGCAACCCUGAUUGUCAGUUACCAUCUGGUAAUGCAGGGGACUCUGACAAGACUGCCGUCGUAAGAUGCGAGGAAGGUUGGGAUGACGUCAAAUCAGCACGGCCCUUACGUCCGGGGCUACACACGUGUUACAAUGGGUGUUACAACGGGUUGCUACGCGGCGACGCGAUGCCAAUCUCCAAAGACGCUCUCAGUUCGGAUCGAAGUCUGCAACUCGACUUCGUGAAGCUGGAUUCGCUAGUAAUCGCGCAUCAGCCACGGCGCGGUGAAUACGUUCCCGGGCCUUGUACACACCGCCCGUCAAGCCAUGGGAGUCGGGGGUACCUGAAGUACGUUUCCGUUUAGGGACGUCCCAGGGUAAAUCCGGUGACCGGGGCUAAGUCGUAACAAGGUAGCCGUACCGGAAGGUGCGGCUGGAACACCUCC